rnacentral:rRNA from 1 species
AAUAGAUACCCUGGUAGUCCAUGCCGUAAACGUUGGGCGCUAGAUGUGGGGACCAUUCCACGGUUUCCGUGUCGCAGCUAACGCAUUAAGCGCCCCGCCUGGGGAGUACGGCCGCAAGGCUAAAACUCAAAGGAAUUGACGGGGGCCCGCACAAGCGGCGGAGCAUGCGGAUUAAUUCGAUGCAACGCGAAGAACCUUACCAAGGCUUGACAUAUACGAGAACGCUCUAGAAAUAGAGAACUCUUUGGACACUCGUAUACAGGUGGUGCAUGGUUGUCGUCAGCUCGUGUCGUGAGAUGUUGGGUUAAGUCCCGCAACGAGCGCAACCCUCGUUCUAUGUUGCCAGCGGUUCGGCCGGGAACUCAUAGGAGACUGCCGGGGUCAACUCGGAGGAAGGUGGGGAUGACGUCAAAUCAUCAUGCCCCUUAUGUCUUGGGCUUCACGCAUGCUACAAUGGCCGGUACAAAGGGCUGCAAUACCGUAAGGUGGAGCGAAUCCCAAAAAGCCGGUCUCAGUUCGGAUUGAGGUCUGC